CCCUCUUUGAGCAAUUAAUUUGCUCAUCUUAUCAAUAAAAUUUUACCAGGACAGAGAAACUUCCACAUGGUAUUUUCAGGGGUGCUAGUCACUCCCUGCGGGACUUUCAUUAAUUUCUUCACCUCGAUUCCCAUGUGGUAAUUCCUAAGGCCCAGUUUUAAAGAUGGGUUGAUAGCCUCCAGUGGCAGAGAGGAGAGUUUCCAAUUGUUUCUGUUCUGCAUUAUAGAUUAAUUUCUGUAUUCUCUUUCUCAGUGUACAAGUAAGAUGGCAGUUAUACAAAAUCAUACACAAUAAAAUCAGGACUAUAAUAACAAGAGGAUAGAAGAAUGAUUUCAUUAUCUGGGAUCCAGUAGGAGACCAACCAGUGAAGCAUCGUACCAAUGAUGGGCUAAAUCAUUCUGAAUCUGUGAACUCACCUUAAGGAGUUCUCCUUUUAGGAUAUGUGUGGCUACCUGUGUGUGUACUAGAGCAUCAUUAUGUGUAACAAGAUGUUUAAACAUAUUUUGUUUUCCUUUCAUUAAGGAGACAAUAGUCUCAAGAGGUAAAUGGUAAUCUUCAAAAGGCAGCGAGCCCAAUAGGGCAUUAACAUGUUUGUCUAAAGUGAUUGUGUUGCUGAAAUAAUAUUGGGUGCCAUUAAGAUCUAACCAGGUAAUAUUAGUCAAACAUCCUGAAAAAGGGAGAGGUAGAUUAAUACUUGUAGUGCUAGUAAUUAUCUUUGUAGGGAGAUUAGUUGCUAAACAGAUAUGUCGUGUG